AUUGAACGCUGGCGGCAGGCCUAACACAUGCAAGUCGAGCGGAUGAAGGGAGCUUGCUCCUGGAUUCAGCGGCGGACGGGCGAGUAAUGCCUAGGAAUCUGCCUGGUCGUGGGGGAUAACGUCAGGACACGGGCGCUAAUACAGCAUACGUCCUGAGGGUGAAAGUGGGGGAUCUUCGGACCUCACGCUAUCAGAUGAGCCUAGGUCGGAUUAGCUAGUUGGUGGGGUAAAGGCCUACCAAGGCGACGAUCCGUAACUGGUCUGAGAGGCUGAUCAGUCACACUGGAACUGAGACACGGUCCAGACUCCUACGGGAGGCAGCAGUGGGGAAUAUUGGACAAUGGGCGAAAGCCUGAUCCAGCCAUGCCGCGUGUGUGAAGAAGGUCUUCGGAUUGUAAAGCACUGUAAGUUGGGAGGAAGGGCAGUAAGUUAAUACCUGGCUGUUUUGACGGUACCAACAGAAUAAGCACCGGCUAACUUCGUG
rnacentral:rRNA from 1 species